rnacentral:siRNA from 1 species
UCCAACUUCAGAUGACUGGUC